UAGUUAGAGGACAUGUUUCAUACCUGUCGUGCAAGGUGAACACCUGCUGCCUCUGGCUGUCCAUACCUGUAAGGUUGCUGAUGUUCAGUAUUUGUUCUUUUUUUAGUGUCUAAAGCUACCUGAGAAAUCAAGGCCACUUCCUCCCAGUCAGAUAAUAAAAAACAUAGUCCCUGCCCCAGAGAGCUUAUGAAGCAAAAACGUUAGCAAGAGAAUAAAGAGGGUUUUUUCCCUGUUCCUGUUGACUGAGUUUUGCUGAAAUGAUAUCCUGCUGUGAUACACACAGGAGGAACAAGGAGCAUAAAGCACAUAUGUGGCUCUAGCACAUAUAAAUGCUUUACUGUGGGCAACCCCAUGAGUGACCCUGACCUUCAGCACUGAGUACGACAAGAUAUUCACCAUUAGCCACUUAUGUGCUUAUCAGCAAACAGAGGUGAGAAACAGAAGAUGGAAAGGAAGGCACGGGCUGAAAGAUGAGGUAAAGAGCAAAGUGAAUUGCUGACAAUUUUGCUCUUCCUUCUCAUCUCUUCUUUGCCACCAAAUUUUUUUGUGCAAGCUGAGAGAUCAUGAAAGUAAAGAAGGAGAAACACCCUGGCUGUGAUCUGCCCACCUACAGCUUUCAAAGUAUUUUAGGGAGGAUGAGAGCUGUAUUGAAGCCCAGUGCAGGAGAGGAGGAUGCAGAGACGUUAACCCUAGCUAGUGACAUCUAACUGGCUACCAAGAAGGCUGUGGGUGUGCAGAUUAUUUACAAGUGUGUGUGCAAGGAAUAUUAUGUGCGUGGGAGGAAUAUUAUGUGGGGAAAAAUCAUCUGUACAUCUUAAAGAAACAGUCCCUUCACUGUACCAGAAUUUCUGUUACCUCUCAGCUGCCACAUAUUCCUUUAAGUAAAAACCUAAUACCUUCCUCUAGCGUUGCCUCUUCUUACAUCCCAAAACACUGAAUUUUGUCUUUUGGUGCUACUCAAAGCUCAGUUCAAUCUUUCACAUAUCAGAAAUGGAGUCAAAGUAGGGAGCUGUAUGAGGAUUUUUGAAAACUAUUUUGUUAUAACAUCUGGAAACUUGGUGCAAUGAACCUUCUCUCCUCACCUGCAGCACUUGGUACCUAUCCCCUUGUAAUCAUUCAUGGCCUUAUGUCCUUGCAAAAAAAAUUACUUUAAGAAGAAGGGAGAGGAAAGAAAUGUCUCUCUAGUGAAUUCCUGUGACUACUCGUCUGGUAAGGAGGCUGCAAACUAGCAAGUUGUGUUCCUUACCCGCUUACAGCUUAGAGAGGGGAGAGAAGGUUUUGAUAUCAACCCUGUAUGUGCCUUUUCCACAUUGAUUUGGGAACCUGCUAAUCAGUUAGGAAAUAGCUCAGUGACACAGCAUGUCACAGACACUGAGCAAAUGUUAGACUUAAUCUUGAUUUUUUUCCCCUCAACUAUUUUCUCUAAACGCCUAGGGAAAAAUUCCAAUUUCAGUGGGUUCUGGACCAAGUCCCAGCAUAUCAAGCACUUGCUAAUAAUACACUAUGUUUAUUUAUCUGUUUCAGAUGCUGAUCUGUGAAAUAUAAAAAUGCUAUACUGCACAGAUUUUGAAAAGAGGUGGCCCCCUUCAGCUUGUGAUAAAUCCUGUUCGAAAGCAAUGCAUAGCCUCAAAGGAGGAAACUGAAGAAUGGAAAACACAAGCAUUCCUCCACAGCCCGUACAACCCAAGAGAUUAAGCCAUGACCAUCUGCAGCACCAGAACAGAGAGCACCACACAGACAUGUGGGCCUCCAAGGAGCCAGCCAAAGUCUGCACAGGCCCCAGAAAAAUAUAGUACUCUAGUGUUUCAUGUGAGCAACUACAUCCUGCCAGCGCGCUGCAGAGCACAGUGCGGACACUGGAGUGCAUCAGCUGUGUCGGAUGUGAGCUCUGUGGGUGCAAGGUGUCCCGCACAGCUCGGCGGUGUGCCAGCACAUCCUCCCGUACCUCUGCUCACAGGAUUUUCCCACCACCCUGAGCGCCUGAGCUCCACAUUCCAGCUACCCGCUGACAACGUCUCUGUUCUUGGGAAGCUGUAAUUCGCGGCUCUUGCCAGCAUGUGGCACAAGAGACGGAGCAGGCUGCCCGCACUGCCGAGACUAAAACCGACCGACUUUUUAAACGUCUGGCCAGUCGCUGCCGAGUCUGUGCUCCGACGCCGUCAGCAGUGCACUCCAUCAGGAGCAAAGGCUCUCCAGGUUUCUUAUGGCACAGUAGUGAUGUUUCUUUACACACACACACACACACACAACAUGAUUACAUAAUGAUCAGACUGUGACUGGAUAAUAGAAAGCGCAAGGAAAAAGGUACUGAAAUGCCAGCUCUUUUGCAAGCAACAGAGUGACAGAGUCCUGCUCGUGUCAGUAAUUAUGAAAAGUCAGAAUCUCAUGCACAGAAACGGUGCCCUUCCAGCAAUUAAACCGGGAACAGUUAGUGACAUAUUGAAUAAGGGCUCUCAAAUGUAUAAAUGCAUUGAUACAGCCAGGCAUGCAAACUAGCAGGGUACUAAGCAAAGCAGAUGCUGAAGAAGCUCUAUUUAGUGAACCAGAAUUAACUUGAUCUCAUUGUUUUUAUGCAUCUUCCACAGUUGAACAGAUUGAUUACACUCAAAUAUCUUCCUUUUUAAGUGAUUCCACUUAUUCCAGUUCUUUGCUGAUGCCUGUUUCUCAUUGAUUUUACCUGGCUACAGUCACUAGGGAGCUAGUUGCUUCAUGGUCACCAGCUCUGUAAUAAAGAUGAGGGAAUUAUAUCUCACACUGGCAAGACCUUUAUGGCCCUGAACUACUGCAUUAUAGGACAUCACCAGAUUUUCAUACUUCUAAGUCCAGCUUCAUAUGCUUGGGCACAACAGUUCAGCAUGACUCAGUAGCAUACAAGAGCAUGGACUGAGCUAAGGACUGUUGUAACCUCUGUAACCUUGAAUCACAGCACGGCUUUGCUCCAUCUGCAUGAUAUGAUUUCUAAUCUUAGGAACAAAGCCAGCCAUGCAGAAGUCCUGAAGACAAAGAGCUGGAUCAGCAGGGAAUUGGGAAAAUGGAUGGAAGGGCAGAUGAAGAUGAACUGAAUACUAAUGCUAGCAGUUACAACAGUUCUGAGAGGCUGCCGUACCUGCACCCCCAGCUCUCAUUAUUUAAUAGGUCUGGAAACCCCCACUGUUUCAAUCUGCCAUUCUGGAUUAUUUCUCACCGAACUACAGACAACUGCAUUCACAUGCCUGUGCUUAAACCUUUUAUGUCUCACUGGCACCUGCAUUCAGAGAUAUUUCAGCACUGAAUUUACUCUUGCCUUAGUGUCCGUCUCCUAGAAAAGACAAGACCACAGCAUAUCAGGAGAGAUGACAGUUAUUAUCAGCCUGUUGUAUACAGUGCCAGGGCUGACAUGAAGAUUAUUCUGGCCUUGGGGAGCAAAGGGAGGUGAGGUAUUUUGAAAGAGAGCUACAAGAAUGAAGAUAAAAAUCACAUAAAGUUUUCCUAUCUCCUUGUGGCUUUGUUCCUCUGUAUUUCCACUCAGCUGAAAUGUUGUAACUAUAUGCCAGGCUUGGCAAAACGACAGGAGCAAGAAGAAAGUAAGAAUAUGCUCAAGGAAAGAGAAGUUCAAAACUCCCCUCUGAACUCCUAGAGCUGAGAGAAAGGCAACUGGCACCAGGGUAAUGUUUCCUUGUAACACAAUGCCAUCUGCUGGGACUUGCUAUAGCAGAUGAGGCAGUGCAAAUGAACUUGGGAUAAACAAGUCCAAUAAGGCUAGAAAACGCAUGCUGCCAUGUCAACACAGACUGAUCACAUUUGCAGUUAGCAACAAGGGAAAAUUCUUAUAAUCUAGUUUAGAAUUGUCUUUGAAGACUCUGGAGACUGUUAAAAGCAGAUGUCACAGCUGCCUUGAGUAUAGUGAGAUGGAGGAAGAGGAGCUCUCCUGAGAAGUCUGAUAAGUUUGCCACAAAGUUGAUACUAAGCUGAGUCCAAAGUUCCCACAGGCAAUGACAAGUGUAAACCUGGACUGAGUUACUGAAGAAGUAGGAGACGGUAAGAGGACAAGUUAGAUGAGGAGAACAGCCCUCUGAUCUUUAGAAAGAUACAGCUGUCACUUCCAGAAGCAUCCUACUUUUCUGUCAAGUUUCAAGAAAAACACUGAAUAUUGAAUACUGAAUUUGUCAUUUGAGGAACUACAAAUAAGGAGUGCUUGUGUAGUAAUUUAAGAGACUGUUUGGACGUAAUUGAAUAUUGAGCACAUCCACUUGAAAAUAUUAGUUAGCAAGUCAGUCAAUAAAAUGUUGGUCCACACUCUUCCAUUUGAAGAGCUUCUUGCUUAAACAACG